rnacentral:lncRNA from 1 species
UGCCGUUCCUAAUUUGAAAUAGUACAAUUUUUAGUUCAUAAACUCGUGUUUAGAAGGCUAUUUUUAUUUAUAAAUUCUUCAAUUAAAAUAAUUCAGUAUUUUAUCGUUACUAAAGUAAUCAAAAGUCAUAAUUCAUUAAAAGUGAUCUUAUGCAAAAUAUAAAAAUAUACAACAGCUAUCCAGUUAUUGUGCGAUCUUAUUAUUCCCGUUAAUUAAUUUUAAUUAAUUUUUUUUACAUUCAUGUGUCUGAAACUUUGUCUGACUCCCGUUUACAAUUGAUACGAAAUGUUGUUCACACCUGAAAUGCCAGUGAACCGUGACGCCUAGAUUUCACUGAAUGAGGAUCAAAAGAUUAGAAUUACAUAAUGCUAAUCUUUUAAUUACCUUGAGUUAAAC